GAAUUGACGGACUCCUACGGGAGGCAGCAGUGAGGAAUAUUGCGCAAUGGGCGAAAGCCUGACGCAGAGACGCCGCGUGGGGGAUGAAGGUCUUCGGAUUGUAAACCCCUUUCGGGGUGUAAACCACUGUUGCCCGGGACGAACGGCUCGAUUCGUCGAGCGUGACGGUACCGGGUGAGGAAGAAGCCCCGGCUACUUCCAGCAGCAGCGGCGGUAAUAGGAGGGGGGCGUUGUCUGGAGUUAAUUACUGGGCGUAAAGGGCAGGUAGGCGGCCUCGUCCGUCCGGAAAUAAAUGCGUGGACUCAACCCGGGAAUUGCCCUCGAUACAGCGAGGCUAGAGUGUGGGAGAGGAUGGUGGAAUUCCCAGUGUAGAGGUGAAAUUCGUAGAUAUUGGGAAGAACACCGGUGGGGAAGGCGCCCAUCUGGACCACAACUGACGGUGAGGCGAGAAAGCGUGGGGAGCAAACAGGAUUAGAUCCCCUGGUAGUCCACGCCGUAAACGAUGAAUGCUAGACGGGGGGGAGCAUGCUGUUCGGUGUCGCAGCUAACGCAUUAAGCAUUCCGCCUGGGGAGUACGGUCGCAAGAUUAAAACUCAAAGGAAUUGACG
rnacentral:rRNA from 1 species